CCCAGCUCCACAGCCCCGAGACUUCAACCCACCGCCCCGGCAGGGCACUGGAAAAAAGGGCAUGAAGAGGCUGGGCCUGCCCUCCAGGACAGCUCCAGCCCAUUUUGGCAGGGGUUGUGCAGCUUUUCCUGCUGUGCUGCCACACGUGCUGUUGUCAUCACUGUGCAGGACUCAGAGCAGCAGCAGGGAAGGGAUGAACUGCACGACACAGGAAUACAACAGAGAGGGAGUUUCUCACUGUGCACUCCUGUAGCCACAGCAUCUCUCUCAGGGCUUUCCAAAAAAAAAA